rnacentral:rRNA from 1 species
UAAUACGGAGGGUGCAAGCGUUAUUCGGAAUUACUGGGCGUAAAGGGCGCGCAGGCGGUUCCUUAAGUCAGGCGUGAAAGCCCGGGGCUAAACCUCGGAAGUGCGUCUGAAACUAAGGGACUUGAGUACGGGAGAGGGAAGUGGAAUUCCUGGUGUAGAGGUGAAAUUCGUAGAUAUCAGGAGGAACACCGGUGGCGAAGGCGACUUCCUGGACCGAUACUGACGCUGAGGCGCGAAAGCGUGGGGAGCAAACAGGAUUAGAGACCCUGGUAGUCCACGCCGUAAACGAUGAACACUAGGUGUAGCGGGUAUUGAAUCCUGCUGUGCCGCAGCUAACGCAUUAAGUGUUCCGCCUGGGGACUACGGUCGCAAGGCUA